rnacentral:lncRNA from 1 species
GCGUGGCGGAGGGCCGGGCGACGGCGCGGGGGGUGGCGCUGGUCCAGGUUUUUUUUUUUGACAGAACUUCUCCUCCUUUAUUCAGCGCUCAGAACUGUGGCGGGCUAGUUUAUUACUAUUUCUGUUACAAUGAACAUAAUGUGAUAGCCAUGGUUAGAUGGGAUAGGGUAGGUGAGGAGGGGAAAGGGGAAGAAGCCUUGGGGAAGAAGAAGAUAGGAAAAGGGGACUGGGAAAUCAGAGUUCAAUAUCCUUUUCUUCCAUACCCGAUACAGAAGGCGACUGUGGUUUAUAACCCACCGCACACCCACGACCCACACACACCCGCUACCCUCCAGCAGUACGCCGGACCUACUGGCCAGCUGCUACGCUUGGCCUCCCUUCAGCCACUGUCGCCGUAUGUUUCUGAAUCCUUGCCCAGGCAGUCGCUCGUUGCGUACUGCUGACAGGUUCCCACCCUGAAGACGCGGCUUGUCCCCACGCCGCUGCAUUCGGAUACCGCAGUCGGAGAGAUUCGUAGUCCUCCCAAGUAGCUGAUGCUGGCGGCAAGCCGGACCACUGUAUCAGAACCUGCACAUGUGCAUGCUGCCCUUUCUUGACCAUCCUUCUGUCCAGAAUGAGCUCCGGUGCUGUGUCUUUGGCUGCAAUAUCCCAGUCUGUUGGCAGGGUUGUGAAGACAGGGACAUGGUCUGGCACAUGUUCCUUGAGCUGAGAGACAUGAAACACCGGAUGAAUUUGAGCCUGGACUGGCAGUUCCAACUUGUAAGCAGCUGGGCCAAUCUGCUCUAUAAUUUUGAAAGGCCCAAAGUACUUCAUGGCCAGCUUGUGACAAGGUCUGUUGGCCACAGAGUGUUGGGCAUAUGGCUGCAGCUUCAGGUAGACUGAAUCUCCCAUCGUGAAAGUUCGUUCAGACCUAUUCUGAUCGGCAUAAUGUUUGAUCCUUGUUUGCGCUCUUUGCAACUGUUCUUUCAGCACCUCACAAUGUCCUGGUGCUCUUGCAUCCAUUGAUCGACAUCCCAAUUGUCUGAAUGCAGACUUGUAGGAAAAGCUCCAUAUGAAGUGUCAUGACCAUAGAGAGCUUUAUAUGGAGAACAACCUAGAGAAGUAUGGUGAUUUGUGCUGUACCCGAACUCAGCCAUGGGGAACCAGGAGUGCCAUGUCGUGGGUUUGUCAUGAACAGCACACCGUAAGUACAUUUCCAAACACCGAUUGACCCUUUCACUCUGGCCGUCUGUUUGAGGAUGAUAAGCUGUGGACAUGAGCAGUGUGGUGUUCCAGCACUUGAAUAAUUCCUUCCAAAAUGAACUUGUGAAGAUCUUAUCCCUCUCAGAGAUGAUCGAUUGAGGAGGCCCAUGGAGCCUGACCCAUGGAUUACGAGUCGAACGACUAGUCUAGACUAGUCGCUCGACUAGUCUACGAGUCGCACUCCAGCUGUCGACUCCUUUUCUCGUGUAGACUACAAAGACGAGUCGAGCCGUCGAAGGACUAAUUGAUGACUAGUCUGGACUAGUUGUGCAUCUUGAGUCGUUCGACUCAAAAAAAAUUCCAGGCUUGCUCUUUGUUUGUAAAGCGUCGCUUAAGCGACGCUUAAGCGUCAGAGCGCCCUCCAGGCUCAAGGCGUCCAACUCGCUUAGGCAGGUGUCUAAGGCGUCUGCCUUAGACAUUAGAGCGUCUGAAGCGCCCGCUUAGGCGUCCUGGUUGGCGCUUUAGUGCAGAGCAGACGCUUUAGACUAGUCAGGCAGGGGCACAGAAAUUUCAGGCGGGAAAAGUGGACUGGGUGGGAACACAAGGGCGGGAAAACUGGGUCACAUGUGAAACAGUUACAGGACUGGAAAGAAAGAGAGAGAAUCAAAACCACAGAGCUUGCCCAGGCUUUCAGCUCUCUACUCUCUCCUCUCUCCUGUGCUUGCAGUGCUCAUGCUUUGCUUGCUGACAAGUUGCACAUUGUUGAAUAAAGCUAGUCGCAUCAUGUUUCAAACCGUGCCAACAAAAAGGUUUCUUAACUCUUUGAUAGGUUGCUUGUAUGUCUGAGUGGCCUCCCACAACACUUGCAUGAAAAGAGGAUAUGAUCCUGGUUUUCAAAGCAGCACUAGCUCCUAUCCAAAUUCUGCCCUCCUUGGUGAUAAUGCCCUCUUUGAGGCAGUAAUCAUCCACAGGUUCAGGUGAGAUAGCUAGUUUCUGAAGUAAUUGUUGUGCUUCACAGUCCACAGUAUAAGAAUUCUGCACUUCUUGCAGCCACAGAGGGUGGGCUUUUGCUACAAUAUGCGUAGAUAGUAGAUGCCCUACUAUGGAGAGAGCAUCAGCUGCCCCAUUGUCUACUCCCUUCUUAUACUGGAUUUUAAACUCUAAUCCCAGCAGCUUGUGCAUUGCCUUUCUCUUCAAAUCAGUAGUUAACACUUUCUCAUUGAGAUGAGCCAAGCUUUGAUGGUCUGUUUUGAUGAUAAACAAGCCCUUGCUCAAGUAGGUUCCACCUUUCCACCGCCAUAAUGACCGCCAAGAAUUCCUUCUCAUAGAUGGACAAAUGCUGAUUUGCCACACUCAGGGCCUUGCUAUAAAAUGCUACCGGGUGACCCUCCUGCCUGAGCACUGCCCCAAUGCCUGUAGCACAAGCAUCAGUUUCGACAGUGAAUUGCUUAGUGAAGUCAGGUAAGGCCAACACAGGUGUUUGCACCAUUGCCUGCUUCAACAUGUCAAAAGCCACUUGCGCUUCAGCAGCCCAAUGAAAUACUUUUUGUUGUAGUAAAUGAGUCAGGGGCCGAGCUAGAAUUCCAUAGCCUUUCACAAACUUUCUGUAGUAACCUGUCAGUCCCAAGAAGCCCCUUAAUUCAGUAAAAUUUGUAGGAAUUGGCCAGUCCACCAUGGCAUGUGUCUUAGCCGGGUUUGUGGCCACACCUUGUUCAGAAAUAAUAUGGCCUAGGUAUUCCAAUUCUUUCUGAGCAAAAGAACACUUGGACAUGUUGACAAGCAGUUGAUGCUGCCUCAAGGUGCUCAGAACAGUCCUCAGGUGCUGAAGGUGAUCUUCAAAUGUUUUGCUAAAAACCAAAAUAUCAUCCAUGAAUACCAGGACAUAGUGUCUGUUCUGGGGAGCAAAUAUAAAAUUCAUGAUACACUGGAAAGUACGAGGUGCAGUAGCUAAUCCCAUUGGCACCACCUUGAACUGGUACUGCCCACAGUGUGUUUUAAAUGCUGUUUUGUGCUCAUCUUCUUCCACCAUCCUAAUCUGAUGAUAGCCCGCUUUCAGAUCCAACUUAGAAAAAUAAGCAGUGCCUGCUAGCUCAUCCAACAGUUCAUCCACAAUGGGCAUAGGGAACUUGCUCUUUAUGGUGAUAUCAUUGAGCUUCCUAUAGUACACACAAAACCUCCAGGAACCAUCCUUCUUUUUGACCAACAAAACUGGGAAGCAAAUGGACUUAUGCUCGGUGUGAUAAUGCCAACUUCUAACAUUUUGUUCACCUGUCUCUCUAUUUCAUCUUUCUGCAAAGGAGAGUAUCUGUAAGGUCUAGAAUUGACAGGUCUGGAACCUGGAAUGAGGUGAAUGGCAUGAUCAAAAGCUCUUUUGGGAGGCAGGGUUGAAGGUUCUUGAAACACAUCACUAAAUUCUUGUAGUAUAUCUUGUAUCUCUUGAGGAUUAUCAGUUGUCACAGUCUUCCCUUGAGGUAUCAGGAUGAUAGCAGUGGCCCAAAUGUCAUUGCCCUUAUAGCUUCUCAUGACUUGAUCCACUGUCAGCUCUUGCAGCACAGUUUGGUCAGUAACUAGCACCCCCUGUAGUUUAGUGUUCUUUUCCUUAUAUUGGAACUCUAUCCAUUUUUCCUUCCAAUGACAGGUCAUGGCCCCCCAUUGCUCAACGAAUCCAUCCCCAGAAUCAAGUCAUGCCCACCCAAAUCAACCAGUUUGGUUGAAUAAGAGAAAGUAUGGCCUUGGAGCCACCAAGUCAAGGCAGGUACUUCCGAGGUACAAGGCAGUGUUUCUCCAUUGGCCACCUUCACAGUUAAAGGUUGUGGUAGUUUCCUUGUUUCAGCACCAAUUCGGGGUAGCAGUGACGUGUCAAUGGAACUGUGAGUGCUCCUUGAGUCCAGCAAGAUUAGCACCACCUGAUUGCCCACCAGUGCUCUGAAUCUGAUUGUUUUUGGGUGUUCUGCCCCAGAGAGCAGCAGCUCUUCUUCCACUGCUUCUUGUACUGCUAUGGCAUCCAGUACUGCAUCUGGAAUUCUGUCUAGGUCUUCCUGGCCAGAAGUCAUAGCAUGGGCCUGAGCAGCAACUGGAGUUUGGGUAGCACACACAUGUCGUGGAGCAAAUUUUCUCCACAGCUGAAACAAAGCCCAUGUGUGCGUCUAUAAUCUUUCAGCUGUCUUGCUUUCCAAAGAUCACCUGCCACCGUCGGCUGCUGUUUGCCAUCCCCUUUUGUGAAGCUGUUCCUGGACUGAAACUUGCCAGAUUUCUGUCUUGUUAAAGUAGCUUCCUGAACUGUUGCAAAUGCUGCUGCUGCUGCUAUAGUUACAGGAAAUUGAAUUUCCACGGCACCCUUCAAUUCCUCCUUGAGACCCAAAAUGAACCGUGCCACCAGAAACGUGUCACUGCAGGUUCAUACAGUUUGAUCUGAUACACCAAUUGAAGGAAGUCUCUCUUGUAUUCCUCUAUAGAACCCUUUUGCUUCAACAACAAUAAGGCAUGCAUGGUCUCUCUGUGUACAUUGACAUCAAACUCGGCCAUGACUGCAUCCUUGAAUUGAUCCCAGUCCACCCAUCCAGCUAAUAACUUGAAAGCGUGGUACCAAUGCGCCGCAACGCCCUCGAGAUGUAAAGUGGCUGAUGUAACCUUGAAAUUCUUCGGAAUAUCAUACAAGGAAAAAAAUGCCUCACACCCGUCGAGCCAUAUGCGUACAUCAGACCCAUCAAACUUGGGGAAAUUCAUCUUUGGUAGCCACGGUCGACGCGCUGACGACGACACGUCGCGGCCGUGAGCGGUGUCAGGUUGAUGUUGCGAGAAGCUGGGCUUGGGAAUCUGUAAGGGUGGUGGAGGGGGAUGUGGUGGUGGCGAAGGAAUGAUCCCCUCCUGCUGCCUUGCUGAUGGCGAGCUUGGAAUCGUAGUGGCCUUUGCCCUUCCGCCGCUGCCACUUGCUCCUGCCUGACAUCAGCAAUCAAAUUCAUCGUCAGGUUUACCGUCGCCUGCACCGUGUCGAUCCGCCCUAUUUGCUUCUCCAUCUGCUUGUCCAGAGCAUCCAACCGCGAGGAAAUUGCAUCGAUCCCCUCCACCUUGUCCUUGACGAACUUGAGGGCUUGUAGUUCCUUCAUGAUGCGCUCCUCAAACGCCUCCAUCGCGGAGUGCACCUGCCUCGCCUGCGCGCUAGGCUUGGAUGACGUUGUCAUUGCUCUAAAGGAAUUACGCAGAUCAAGAGCUUCCACUACCUCCAAGCUGUCUGAGCUCACCAAGAUCUUGCUGCAUCCGACAGUUCUUGCAAGGUUCAGCCCAAACCUUGACAGCCAGGGCUUCUGCUGUGAAAGAGUCAAAGCAAAUGUCUACUUUUUCAUUCGCUGUCGCUAUGAACUGUCCACUCUGGUCACGAAUGACUGCCCCCACAGAUCCUUCAAGUAGAUCUUGGUCAAACCCCGCAUCGACAUUCAAUUUCAUGUAUCCCAUUGGCGUUUUUUCCCAAACUCCAGACCGAGCUUUGGCCUUUGGUGGACAUGCAAUACUGAAAUUUGCCUUUUGCAUUCUAGUCUCUUGGCAUCCUCCUAUAGCCUUUUGGCAUCCUCAUCUGUGUGUAUAUAUGUUGGCAUUGGCCUCCUAAUAAUAUAUGUUGCAUAUUCCUAACAUGGUAGCAGAGCCUUCGGAUUUUAUUCGCACGCCACAACUCGUGCUCGAUCCUCUCUUUGCGCCGCCGUCGUCUCUUUGCCGGCUGUCAUUGCCCUCCCUACCCGCUAUGUUCAUCGCUGCUUUGGCUGUUGCUGUCCACGCGACGUCUCACCUCCACGUUCUGGCCUGAUGUGCUCCAAUCCUGCGUGCCGCACGGCUCAAUCCGAUCUUCCGCCUACUGGUUAACCUCCGUUGGCUGAUUUGCUAGAGAAUUCUGCACUCUACAUACACCUGUUCCGGAUUACAAGUCCCGUGGGCUCAAGUCAAAACUCCAUAUGUGCUCAUCGAUCACGCUGUGAAGUCUGCCGCUACUGCUCGCGUUGUCGGCUGCUGGUAUUUGCUGCAUCUCGCCCAAUAUUGUCGGAUUCAGCCACUCCCGCUCGUGAAUGCUCGUUGCUCGCCGGAUUUAGCCACUCCCGCUGGUCAACGCCCGCUGCUUGAUCCGCCAGUUGCUCCUUCCCGAUUGCUGCUUCGCCUGGUCGGGUGCUGCUGGUUCUGUUUCGAUCGAACCUGCUUUGAUUGGAUCGAGCGCUCACUUGGUUCCGCCCCUCUGGAUCGAUCUGGUCCUCAUUCGGCUGGCCUCCCGUCAGGAUCGAGCGCUCACCUGGGUCUGCGUCGCUGCCGCCGGCCCCGUCCGCGCCGCUGCUGCCUUCUGCGGCGCCACCGGUCGCUGGCCCCAUCUGCGCUGCUACUACCGGCCCUGUCCUCCGCGACGCUGUUGUCUUGCGCGGCUGCCUGCGGGGCACUCGCGUGGUUAUGUGAGUGGCUGCUGCCGUUUCUUGUCCGGGUGUCUACUGCUCCAGAUCAUGACUGUCUAAUCGAUUUGGUCCUGGUUCGAAUGGCUUUUUGUCUGAUUGAUCUGCUGCUGGUUCUGGCCGCUCUCACCUUGGCCAGUUGAGUCUUUGUGACAGAAAAGUUGCACUAUGUCUUUGGCAUCAUCUGGCUACGUUGCCAUCCCGCUCUGCCUAGUGAUAUUCGAUGGGGCUAACUUACUGAGUUCGUUGCCUUUAUGCGCAUUCACAUGCGUGGCAUUCGUCUGGGGUGUUCUUUCCGGUGAGGUCCCUGUCCUCCGUGCCCAGUGCCUCUUGUGGCUCCUACCCCACCGCCGAUGCCAUCGGCUAUUGACACAGAUGCUUCUGAUGUUGAUAGGGCUGCAGCCACAAUUGCUGCUGAUGAUGCAGCUGCCACUUAUGACCAGGAGGUCUUGGAUUAUUCAAAUGCUCUUUCUGUUUAUCGUGACAAUCUAGCUGCUUACACUCAGCGGUGUGAUGAUGAUGCUCGUGUUGCGACUGUUCUCACUCCCAGUGUUUUGCCUCAGUUUGCUUCUGAGUUUAUAGGCCUUAGUACUGUCUUUGAGAUGUGAACUCAUCUUCGUUAGCGCUAUCAGCCCUCUGGUGAUGCUCUCUACUUGUCUGUGGUCCGUCAGGAGCAUGCUCUUCAGCAGGGAGACUCCACUAUUGAUGAGUUCUACACUCAGAGUUCUGCUGUCUGGCGCCUGCUUGACUCCCUUCGCACUACUGUUUGUGGCACUUGCCAGACUGUGAGGUCACUGGCGACGAUUCUGAGUACAUUGCAUUUGUUAAGGCCUGUCUUAAUGAGUAGUUCCUUAUGUCUGAUCUUGGUCCUCUUCGUUACUUUCUUGGGAUUGAGGUUUCCUCCACCUCUGCUGGCUUUUUAUUUUCCAAGAAAAGUAUAUCUAGAGCCUUAUUACUCGUGCGGCUCUUAGUGAUGAGCGCACUGCUGAGACUCCUAUGGAGCUCAAUGUUCACCUUCGUGCUUCUGAUGGUGAGCCCUUGUCUGAUCCGACACGUUAUCGUCAUCUUGUUGGGAGUCUUGUGUAUCUUGCUGUCACUCGUUCGGAUAUCUCUUAUCCUGUCCAUAUUCUGAGUCAAUUUGUUUCUGCUCCCACUUCAGUUCACUAUAGUCACCUUCUUUGCGUUCUACGAUAUCUUCGUGGCACGCUCUCUCAUCGUCUCUUUUCCCCUCGUUCCAGCUCCAGGCCUAUUCGGAUGCUACGUGGGCUAGUGAUCCUACGGAUCGCCGUUCACUUUCUUUCUACUAUGUCUUUCUGGGUAGUUCCCUCAUUUCCUGGAAGACGAAGAAACAAAUUGCAGUUUCUCGUUCGAGUGCAAAGGCCGAGUUGCGAGCUAUGGCUCUUCUUACGGCUGAGAUGACUUGGUUACGAUGGUUACUGGAGGAUUUUGGUGUUUCUGUUACUACACCUACCACCCUCCUGUCAGACAACACAAGUGCUAUUAGUAUUGCGCGAGACGGCGUGAAGCAUGAGCUUACCAAACACAUUGGUGUUGAUGCUUCUUAUGUGCGCGCUGCUGUGCAGGAUCAUGUUGUUGCGCAACAUGGAUUUCACCCCUCCACACUCAGUGUUGUGGAUCCACCAUGAGUUUGAGGGGGGGUGUUAGGGUUAUAUUAAGUGAUGUCUUUUGGCCUUUUGCAUUCUAGUCUCUUGGCAUCCUCUUGUAGCAUUUUGGCAUCCUCAUGUAUGUGUAUAUAUGUUGGCAUUGGCCUCCUAAUAGUAUAUGUUGCAUAUUCCUAACACAGGUGACGGCGCGGCGGGUGGCGGGAGGCUGGGCGACGGCGGGAGAGGUCUGCCUUGGCUCCACGGAAGGGAAGGCGUGCCGUGGCUCUAUCUUCUAUCGACUUCUAAGGACUUGAGUAUCAAUAUCUCAAUAGGGAGGCUUGUUAUCACCGGUAUCGUCAAUAGCAUCUCAUCAGUUGGCUAAAUGGCCGAAGAUUUCUUCAACGGCAACAGGCCCAUGGUUACCAAGGAUGGGAAAGACCUGACUUCUGCACUCGAGGUGUUCGUGAACUGGUGUAUCACAGAGGUGCAAAACAAGAUCCAGAGAAGUUUUCAUCCGUCUUCGAGUAACAGGCCCCUCAAGAAGGUAGUGGUUACUAUUCAGAGUUUGCUGGCUACGCGCCCGGAUCCUGUUCUGAUUGGGUCACUUUUUGCUGGUUCAACGGAGGAGCUGGAGGUGUUAAUCAAGAUAUUAUCAGUUCAGCUGGACAUGGUGCUGUUUUAUACCAUGGGAGCAGCUGGGGAUAUGUACUUCGUCUGGCGGGAUCUCCCCAUCGAUCCCAAGCUCUUUCGCGAGAAUAUGCAUCAAAGUUUGGAUAGGGCUCGACAAUCGGCUCAGAAUAUCAAGGGGGCUGUGGAUCUUAUGACCAGGAUUGAGUCUUUUCUUGUUGCAGCACCAGGUAAUAUACGUCGCUUUUUGUCUUUUCGCCACUUUGUCCCAUCGGCCGAGUAAGGCAGGUAUGUGCUACAGACUUAGUAUCCCAAUUUUUCAUUCAGCCUAUCUGUAAGUAGAAAUAGAGAAAUUACUAAAAACCCCAUAAAGUGUGUUGCUUCAGCCUUCUCACUUCACAAGUUAUUGCUGGAGUAGAAUAUCUUCGGCAUCCACCUCAGAAAGCAGCUCCUUCACAAGUCGUUCAUUCCAGGAUUUUGUAUAUACCAAAAAGCAAUAGCUUCGACACUUUGUUUAUAGAAAUAUCCCUUUUUUAUAUAUCUCCAAAGGAUGCCUGCAGCCACUUUGAGGGAGCAAGUUAUUCUUCCAAAUAUACACCUUAUCACAGCUAACUACCCUGCAGUUCAGGCCCCCCUUCAUAAGAAUACUAUUGCCCUCUAGAAUGUUAGGCCAUGUUAGCGAACCAUUCCUUGGAGCUUUUGGAGCCUUAGGACCUAGCACAUAUUGAAUCUGGACAGAGUAGCAACCUCCAACUUUUUGACGUGCUAAAAGGGCUUGAUUUAAAAGUGCCAUGUCCUGAAAACCCACUCUGCCCCAUUUCUUUGCAAAACACAACCUCUCUCAGCUUAUCCAAUGCACCUUCCUCUGUGGAUCUUCCAACCAUGGUUGGCAAGCCAAGAUAUUUCUCAUUGACGACUUCGUUCUCAAUGCCACAAGAAUUCUUCAGAGCACCUUUGCCUUUUCUGGCACUCCAGAGCCAAAAUAAAUUGAUGGUUUUGGGAGAUUAACUUUCUAGCUACGUUGUGGUACAUAUUCUUGCACUAAGCCUAACCUGCCAGGACCUGUAGCAAAACUAUCUUGUCUGUCUACUACGGUUAACAAGAUCAUCUCACCAAUCUCCAAUAAUUCCUUUGGUGCUUACCCCAAGUUUUUAUCUCACCUAAUAAGCCAAAAUGCAAAGGUGCUCACAUGCAUGUCUAAUCUAUGCUAAAGCGCACACAACUAUUGCUUCCCUGCAAACAUCAGCACAUAGGGUUUUUCUCUUGAUGAAAAACCAAGCAGCCAUCAGACAAGAUACACAGCAUACCUAAGCUCGAGCUUAUGAAAUCUGCUGUCUGAAACUUGUUAAAACAUUUUUACGCAACGACAUUUUGUAUGGUAAUUUGGAAUACUUUCCCUAGAUCUCUACGUUCAUUUUGUUUGACAAAUAUUUUGACCACGGAGCCCACUAUUAAAUGAGAACAAUCUAUUAGAUUCAUGUAACUUUAGUAGUAAUCUAGUAGAUGAACUUGUGCGGAACCUGCUGUACGUUUAGUAAAAUGGUCUGGGUAAUGUCCUCUUUCAAUGAUUCAUGCAUGUGUGUGUCAAAUAAUUGUAGUUUGUGCUAUCAAAGAGGCCAUGCUCAAUUUGUAUUGGAUUUAUGGAAUAUUUUUUUGUGAAAAAGGAAGACUUGAAAGGAGAGUAUACAUGCUAAAUUUAUCACAUGUUUCUGAAAUAUUCUUUAGAUUUGAAUGAUUUUGUGAAAUUAGAAUUUUAUCAUGUUUAAAUUAUUGAAAUUAGUCACUGUAUAUAUUCCGGUUGGGGUUUAUUAAUAUAUACUUUGGUUAAUUGUUCUUUUUGUAUAUGCAUAUGUUUGCUCACAGUUGACCUUUUUUUUACAUUAGCAGGCAUGUUGAGGGGAGCGUGGACCAAACUGUUGCAUCCAUUCAGUGGCAAAUCGCUUAUCAUUUUCGAUGUUAGUUAUUGCAAGUUCAGUAACUUCAAUAUGACUUGUGAUGACUGAGGCGAGCGAAACUGGGAAAUUGUUCGCUUAUCUUCUUUCUACGUCGUGACAUGUGAUGAUUAAAACUGCUAAAUUAUAAUUACUCGGUUGUGUUAUAUGAUGAUUAAAACUGAUAGAUCAUAACUAUAUGAUGCAAUGCAUUUCCUCUCUAUUAUAUAAAUAAUUAUUGUUAGAUGCAUGGUUAAUGUUUAUGCAUGUUUUAGUUGUGCAAUUAUUGGGUUACUAAGGUACAACCUGCACUUUUGGUGUUAUUAUUGUUAUCUUGUGAUGUUAAUAUGUGUGGCUUGCUAGGAUUUGUCCUUGUUGCUUAGUGGAUUGUACAUAGUCGUACAUAGUCUAGUGUGUAUACAGGAUGUAUUUAAAAAAACUGGUACCAUGCUA